GGAUGACGUCAACGGUGGGUUCUUGCCAAAGGAGCCAAAUGGGUCGGGGCUGCUUGACGAAGUGAUUCAAGGGUUUCUUCCGAAACCGGCUGAAAAGGUGUACUCUGAGUUUCCCGGCAACUCAAAUCCCUUACCGGCGGCCAGCAACGUUAAGAUGGAACCGCCGGCAAUGUACAUUGACUGCGAAGGAUAUGGUAACAGAGGGUAUGAUCUGGACUACUAUCAAAGGAUGCAUCAGGACUACUACGGUAAUCAAGUGUUGGCGGCGGAGGAGGAUUAUGAUUCGUUUUAUCAGUACACGGCGGCGGCGGCGGC
rnacentral:lncRNA from 1 species